rnacentral:tRNA from 1 species
GGCCGCGUGGCCUAAUGGAUAAGGUGUCUGACUUCGGAUCAGAAGAUUGCAGGUUCGAAUCCUGCCGUGGUCG